CAAGUUACUCAGGGUGCCCACGUGAAAAGGCGGGGCGGGGGGGGGCGCUACAUAAAUACUGUACUUCCAAAGUCUUGCACGGCGCGCCCCGCAGACGGCCCUAAGCCCCUGUCCCUCGCGUGUCUGGAAAAGAGUCCCCGCUCUGUCCAGCCCCCCGCGAGUCGUGUAGCUGGGGGGGGGGGGGGGGCUUGCUGCUGCCGGCCGGCCGGAGGCAGUGGCCAGCGGGCCGGGGCGGCCACAUGGCGCGCUCCGGGCGACGGCAGCCGCGCUUUGUUUCCACCGGCGAGCGGCGAGUCACCGGCCCCCGCGGUCCCGAAGCCCGGCACACGCUCGGGCCAAGGCUGCCGCACAUUUCACGGCAGGGGCAGCUCCCGGAGCGGCCGCUGCCUCUUCCCCUCUCCACCUCUUCCCCCUCCGCCUCGGCCACCACCGCCGCCGCCGCGCAGCGCCGCGGCCGCCGCCUCCGCCUCCCGCCUCCGCCCAGUCCCCUCCUCCUCCACACGCGAACUUAGUCAGCGGUUCGCGCCGCCGCGCGCCGAUUGGCCGGCGGAACGCGCCGCGUCACAAUGGAGCCGCUCGGAGGCGGCGAGCCCGGCAGCGCUGGGGCUUCCCGCUGAGCCCGCAGCAGCCGUCAGCCGAGAAAGUGCCGGCGCGGGGCCGCCGCCGGCGCGCCCGGAGCGGCGCGGGGCGCACGCGGCGCGGAGCGCGGGCGCCGGGGGCCGGGGUCGCGCAGGUAGGUCGGAGCGGGGCGCCCCCCGCUCCCGGAGGAGGAGCCGAGCCGACCCCGCUGGCGGAGGCGGAGGACGGGGGCGAGGGGACGCAGCAGGUGGGGUUGUCGAGCAGGUGCGGUUACCUGCCCGCGCCUCACCUGCGAGCCGGGCCUGCAGGCAGGUGGCGCGGCCACACACCAGUGGCCGCUCCGCUGCUCCCAUGUUUCCGGGAGACAGGGAGCGAACCCCCCGAGACAACCUCUCCCGGGUGCCGGGGUCAUUCGGGGCAAGAGGAGUGGGCGGCCACGACGAGGCGGUCCCCUCUCCACCGCGGCGGUGUCGGCGCCGCACCUGA
rnacentral:lncRNA from 1 species